rnacentral:rRNA from 1 species
AACAGGAUUAGAUACCCUGGUAGUCCACGCCGUAAACGUUGGGCGCUAGAUGUAGGGACCUUUCCACGGUUUCUGUGUCGUAGCUAACGCAUUAAGCGCCCCGCCCGGGGAGUACGGCCGCAAGGCUAAAACUCAAAGGAAUUGACGGGGGCCCGCACAAGCGGCGGAGCAUGCGGAUUAAUUCGAUGCAACGCGAAGAACCUUACCAAGGCUUGACAUACACCGGAAACGGCCAGAGAUGGUUGCCCCCUUGUGGUCGGUGUACAGGUGGUGCAUGGUUGUCGUCAGCUCGCGCCGUGAGAUGUUGGGUUAAGUCCCGCAACGAGCGCAACCCUCGUUCUAUGUUGCCAGCGCGUUAUGGCGGGGACUCAUAGGAGACUGCCGGGGUCAACUCGGAGGAAGGUGGGGAUGACGUCAAAUCAUCAUGCCCCUUAUGUCUUGGGCUUCACGCAUGCUACAAUGGCCGGUACAAAGGGCUGCGAUACCGUAAGGUGGAGCGAAUCCCAAAAAGCCGGUCUCAGUUCGGAUUGAGGUCUGCAACUCGACCUCAUGAAGUCGGAGUCGCUAGUAAUCGCAGAUCAGCAACGCUGCGGUGAAUACGUUCCCGGGCCUUGUACACACCGCCCGUCAAGUCAUGAAAGUCGGUAACACCCGAAGCCGGUGGCCUAACCCUUGUGGAAGGAGCCGUCGAAGGUGGGAUCGGUGAUUAGGACUAAGUCGUAACAAGGUAACC